GGGUUGUGAGGUUAAGCGACUAAGCGUACACGGUGGAUGCCCUGGCAGUCAGAGGCGAUGAAGGGCGUGCUAAUCUGCGAUAAGCGCCGGUAAGGUGAUAUGAACCGUUAUAACCGGCGAUACCCGAAUGGGGAAACCCAGUGUGACUCGUCACACUAUCAUUAACUGAAUCCAUAGGUUAAUGAGGCGAACCGGGGGAACUGAAACAUCUAAGUACCCCGAGGAAAAGAAAUCAACCGAGAUUCCCCCAGUAGCGGCGAGCGAACGGGGAGGAGCCCAGAGCCUGAAUCAGCAUGUGUGUUAGUGGAAGCGUCUGGAAAGGCGCGCGAUACAGGGUGACAGCCCCGUACACAAAAGCGCAUGUGCUGUGAGCUCGAUGAGUAGGGCGGGACACGUGGUAUCCUGUCUGAAUAUGGGGGGACCAUCCUCCAAGGCUAAAUACUCCUGACUGACCGAUAGUGAACCAGUACCGUGAGGGAAAGGCGAAAAGAACCCCGGCGAGGGGAGUGAAAAAGAACCUGAAACCGUGUACGUACAAGCAGUGGGNNNNNNNNNGGGCGUUAAGUUGCAGGGUAUAGACCCGAAACCCGGUGAUCUAGCCAUGGGCAGGUUGAAGGUUGGGUAACACUAACUGGAGGACCGAACCGACUAAUGUUGAAAAAUUAGCGGAUGACCUGUGGCUGGGGGUGAAAGGCCAAUCAAACCGGGAGAUAGCUGGUUCUCCCCGAAAGCUAUUUAGGUAGCGCCUCGUGAAUUCAUCUCCGGGGGUAGAGCACUGUUUCGGCUAGGGGGCCAUCCCGGCUUACCAACCCGAUGCAAACUGCGAAUACCGGAGAAUGUUAUCACGGGAGACACACGGCGGGUGCUAACGUCCGUCGUGAAGAGGGAAACAACCCAGACCGCCAGCUAAGGUCCCAAAGUCAUGGUUAAGUGGGAAACGAUGUGGGAAGGCCCAGACAGCCAGGAUGUUGGCUUAGAAGCAGCCAUCAUUUAAAGAAAGCGUAAUAGCUCACUGGUCGAGUCGGCCUGCGCGGAAGAUGUAACGGGGCUAAACCAUGCACCGAAGCUGCGGCAGCGANNUGCUGGAGGUAUCAGAAGUGCGAAUGCUGACAUAAGUAACGAUAAAGCGGGUGAAAAGCCCGCUCGCCGGAAGACCAAGGGUUCCUGUCCAACGUUAAUCGGGGCAGGGUGAGUCGACCCCUAAGGCGAGGCCGAAAGGCGUAGUCGAUGGGAAACGGGUUAAUAUUCCCGUACUUGGUGUUACUGCGAAGGGGGGACGGAGAAGGCUAUGUUGGCCGGGCGACGGUUGUCCCGGUUUAAGCGUGUAGGUGUGUGUUCCAGGUAAAUCCGGUUCACUUUAACACUGAGGCGUGAUGACGAGGCACUACGGUGCUGAAGCAACAAAUGCCCUGCUUCCAGGAAAAGCCUCUAAGCAUCAGGUAACAUCAAAUCGUACCCCAAACCGACACAGGUGGUCAGGUAGAGAAUACCAAGGCGCUUGAGAGAACUCGGGUGAAGGAACUAGGCAAAAUGGUGCCGUAACUUCGGGAGAAGGCACGCUGACACGUAGGUGAAGUGAUUUACUCACGGAGCUGAAGUCAGUCGAAGAUACCAGCUGGCUGCAACUGUUUAUUAAAAACACAGCACUGUGCAAACACGAAAGUGGACGUAUACGGUGUGACGCCUGCCCGGUGCCGGAAGGUUAAUUGAUGGGGUCAGCGCAAGCGAAGCUCCUGAUCGAAGCCCCGGUAAACGGCGGCCGUAACUAUAACGGUCCUAAGGUAGCGAAAUUCCUUGUCGGGUAAGUUCCGACCUGCACGAAUGGCGUAAUGAUGGCCAGGCUGUCUCCACCCGAGACUCAGUGAAAUUGAACUCGCUGUGAAGAUGCAGUGUACCCGCGGCAAGACGGAAAGACCCCGUGAACCUUUACUAUAGCUUGACACUGAACAUUGAGCCUUGAUGUGUAGGAUAGGUGGGAGGCUUUGAAGCGUGGACGCCAGUCUGCGUGGAGCCGACCUUGAAAUACCACCCUUUAAUGUUUGAUGUUCUAACGUGGACCCGUUAUCCGGGUUGCGGACAGUGUCUGGUGGGUAGUUUGACUGGGGCGGUCUCCUCCUAAAGAGUAACGGAGGAGCACGAAGGUUGGCUAAUCCUGGUCGGACAUCAGGAGGUUAGUGCAAUGGCAUAAGCCAGCUUGACUGCGAGCGUGACGGCGCGAGCAGGUGCGAAAGCAGGUCAUAGUGAUCCGGUGGUUCUGAAUGGAAGGGCCAUCGCUCAACGGAUAAAAGGUACUCCGGGGAUAACAGGCUGAUACCGCCCAAGAGUUCAUAUCGACGGCGGUGUUUGGCACCUCGAUGUCGGCUCAUCACAUCCUGGGGCUGAAGUAGGUCCCAAGGGUAUGGCUGUUCGCCAUUUAAAGUGGUACGCGAGCUGGGUUUAGAACGUCGUGAGACAGUUCGGUCCCUAUCUGCCGUGGGCGCUGGAGAACUGAGGGGGGCUGCUCCUAGUACGAGAGGACCGGAGUGGACGCAUCACUGGUGUUCGGGUUGUCAUGCCAAUGGCACUGCCCGGUAGCUAAAUGCGGAAGAGAUAAGUGCUGAAAGCAUCUAAGCACGAAACUUGCCCCGAGAUGAGUUCUCCCUGAGACUUAGAGUCUCCUGAAGGAACGUUGAAGACGACGACGUUGAUAGGCCGGGUGUGUAAGCGCAGCGAUGCGUUGAGCUAACCGGUACUAAUGAACCG
rnacentral:rRNA from 1 species